AGUGAACGCUGGCGGUAGGCCUAACACAUGCAAGUCGAACGGCAGCACAGUAAGAGCUUGCUCUUACGGGUGGCGAGUGGCGGACGGGUGAGGAAUACAUCGGAAUCUACUUUUUCGUGGGGGAUAACGUAGGGAAACUUACGCUAAUACCGCAUACGACCUACGGGUGAAAGCAGGGGAUCUUCGGACCUUGCGCGAUUGAAUGAGCCGAUGUCGGAUUAGCUAGUUGGCGGGGUAAAGGCCCACCAAGGCGACGAUACGUAGCUGGUCUGAGAGGAUGAUCAGCGACACUGGAAGUGAGACACGGUCCAGACUCCUACGGGAGGCAGCAGUGGGGAAUAUUGGACAAUGGGGGCAAGCCUGAUACAGCCAUACCGCGUGGGUGAAGAAGGCCUUCGGGUUGUAAAGCCCUUUUGUUGGGAAAGAAAAGCAGCAGGUUAAUACCCCGCUGUUCUGACGGUACCCAAAGAAUAAGCACCGGCUAACUUCGUG
rnacentral:rRNA from 1 species